UCGGCCGCUCGAUAGAACGCCUCCUUCUCUUCCACCUCAGUCUUCCGCCCGUUCUAGGGUUUACGCGGGCCGCAUUGCCGCUAGGGCUUCGGACGAGCUCCCAGGAGAUGCUCCUCACUAGGUGGGUCCUUGUUCGAUUUGGUUCGAUGGUUGAAACACGUGGAUUUUGUGGUUGGUGGAAGGACGGAGUAUGACCGAGGCGUCAAGACUUUCUCCGCUGAGGGAAGGUUGUCUCAGGUGGAAUGCGCCAUCAAGUUGGGGUCGACUGCGAUCGCACUGAAGACGAAAGAGUGCGUCGUGCUCGCAGUUGAGUAGCGCAUCACUUCAGCUCUGUUGGCACGUUUUCACCUUUUCCUGUCGGUCUAACUAAAAGAAUUGGAAGUCUCAAACAGGGACUCUUCUUCAUUCUGAAAGUUCAUAUUACGUAUGUUGCAAGCUAAGUUUGAACUCUUUGGUCUGGAUCGGGAUGCAUCAACGAAUUACCUAUAAAAAUGUAGAAUCCAUUGAAGAAUAAGGAAUGAUAAAGCAUUGUAUGCCUGUGACAUUUAUGUGCCUAUAAAUCUGGUUUUGUGUGACUAUAUGUUCAUGUACUAAGUGAAUCCAUAUUUGCCAAUGGCUGAGUGAUAAAAGGUUGUCAUGUGACACCUAAAUCUUCACUCUACUGAUGCUUGAAUCCCAGUGGUAAAAACAGACGGUGCAUUGAGCUCCAAUAAUAGUUAGAUGACACCUCACAAUGAAUGAAACUAUUGCAGCUAGGCUGCCAUAGGAUUAGUGGCAUUGGUCACAUUUACUUAAGUUGUGCUAUUCAAGAAAAAUAUGAGGCUGUGCAAGUUCACCUAUUGUUAGCAAGGUGCAAUCAGCUUUUGUUAAAAGCAUUUUCCUUACGAUCUCUUGCAAAUUUGAUGAUUGGGGAAAUCUUUAUCAGAUACGUUUUUCUUGUAUCCUGGGUGUCAUUUAGAGAGGCCAUAUAACAACCAGUCAAUUGGAGGUUGAGGGUGGAAUUAUCUGUGUCCUGCUGGUUGAGUUUUAGUAGAAUUUGUGCUAGUCAAAUAUUUUCAGUGAGCUGCUUGAUGAAUGUGGUCCAAUAGGAAGUGUCCUGUAUCCAGAUUGGGUUCUAUGUGUUACCUUACUGUUAUAAAAUUAAAAUUUGAAGCUUGUAUGUAAUCUUUGUAUGUCUCUGUUCCUAGCUAUUUGACUUUGUUUCACUACCUAUUGCAUUUACAGAAACCAAGCAGUCUAGAAAAGGUGAUGGAGAUUGACGAGCACAUAAGAUCUGCUGAGUGGUUUGAUAGUGGAUGCCUGCACUCUUGUUGAGCAUGCACGUGUUGAAACCCAAGUGUUGUUCACAUAACACUUUUUUGAUAAUAAAGUAGUUCAUGUCUUAACUGCUCUUUACGAGACGUAACUAGUUGGCCGAAUUUGUUUAGUUUAGGGAUAUCAACCACUACUCUCCGAGUUACUCUUAGGCUUUGCACAAACGGCAAAUACAAUUAAAAUAUUAAAAUAUAUUAAUACUGUUGAAUUCAAACUUAACCUUAUUUGAGACUCUGGUCUAUUCCACUGUUCAAUAUUUGAGACAAGACCCUAAUAGUUUUGGAUUGCAUAAUCAAAUAGUGUAAGCAUAAUGGUAGUAUGUAUAUGUCGACAGUUUCUUUUCAAGUAUAAGAUGAUUAUGUAUGCAAAAGUUCUUCAAUCAUGUUUUAGAGAUUGCAGCACAUUCUGAAGCAUGUCAUGAAUGUCUUUUCAUCAAAAAAUGUCAUCCAUGAAUCCACUGUUGUGUUAAAUAAAACUGCAUUAUGUAAUUGGGAACCAUUACACAGUUGGAAAGGAUUCGUUGGUCAACCUUGUUAGUGUGAAGGUGUUUCCCAUUAAUUCUGUCAAUGAGAAUGAAGUGUGUAUGAUUUUUUUUUUAAUGCAAUGAAUCUGUGUUUUCAUAUAUGAAUAAAUCAGUAUUCAAGUCAAUUACCACAAUUUGCAUUCCUACGUCUUCUGCUUGACCAUUCACCACUUAAACUUUGUUGGUAAAUGAAGCUGUUACCUUUAUCUAUAGCAUCAUGCUCCUCCUUCUUUUCUUUUUGCUUAAAUAAGUAGCGCAUGCAGAUAUUUCACUGAUCCAUCUGGCACAUUUUUGGCAAUGCAAUGCAAAAGCUAUAGGUUCUGGUUCUGAAGGAGCGGAUAGUUGUUUGCAAGAGCAAUAUAACAAGGACCUAACUCUUCAACUAGCUGAAACGACAGCUCUUUCCAUACUGAAGCAAGUGAUGAAAGAAAAAGUAACACCAAACAAUGUUGAUGUUGUGAAGGUGGCUCCUUUUUAUACUAUUCUCCUUCCGAGGUGGAAGCUGUCAUCAAUCGGCUCAGAUACCUGACUUGAUUCCCUUGUAUUCCUUCAUAGAAGGUAAUAUAAUUGGAUCUCUGAUGAAUUGGAUUGUGCAACUACCUCAACGAAUAGCCUUCCCAUUGGUUGGGGCAUUGUCGACUGGAAUAGUUUGUAUGGUAGCUUUGAGAUGAUCCAGCAAUUCAUGGAAUUGCUGAAAAAGGAAGAAAAAGGAAGCAUCCAAGCAAUCAACAUGUUAAGCUUGUUCUAGGUGAUACCUUCCUAAAUGCCAUGAUACAUCUUCAACCCAAUGGCUCUCCAUUUUCUCUUCCCCUUUCUCCUUUUCUAGAGAUCGUUUCUUUUCCAUGCUGAGAACAACAUCUCCAAAAGUGAUACAUUGCAUUUGGAUCAAAUGCCUUCUCUCUCAGAAUCAAAGUGCAUUCAACAAAGGUUACAUUCAAAUCACUGUACAUGGAAGAAAAAUACCUGGGUUCUUAUCUUCUCAUAUGGGUCAAACCCAUGGUUGAAUUCAUUGUACUUGCAACGACAGGUUUGUAGUGGUCAAAAAGAUCUUGUGCUCAUAUUCUUGAAUUGUCUUUGAGAUGGCAAUUUCAAUUCGAACUGUUGUGCACUACUCAUGUUAGGGUCAUGGAUUGUAUGGGUCAAACCCAUGUUAUGGUCAUGCAUCCAAGGUUGACUUCACUGUAGGAUGGCAAUUUCAAUUUUACCUGCACUACUCUCGACCCGGUCCGAUCGAACCAGGUUUGAUCAAUUACUUCCAGUAGUAAUUUGUUUUCUAUCUUGUAAAUUUCAAAAGGAGAAAAAUAUAUAUGUAUCGGUUUUUUUUUUUUUUUUGAUUGAUGAGGAUAUAAUAUCAAUAAAUAUGAUGUAGGGAGAGUGUAAAAUGUUGAAUUGGUGUGGCAAGGAAUUUGACUUGCU